CCGGGUAUGGAAGGAGCACUUCUACCAAUGGAAUGUGAAUGGUGUAGAAAGAAACAAAAAAACAAAGCAAGAACCGUCCAGUCCUAGUCUAGGCUCGUGUUUUCAGUAAAGAAACUGUGUCUCCCAGGAGUUGACAGCAUCUGCUUGAGGGUGUACAGCUCCGUCGUCACUGGGGAAGGCUGGUGAGGGUGCAGCCUUCCUCACUCCUUAUGCUUUUCCCAAACUCUGGGAAAAGCUCAUCUCCGCUAUCUUUCAGUUACAUUCCCAUUAGGAACGGGUGUUGUGGACGCCCUGCAGGGUGUCUGCCCAGCUCCCCACGACCCACAACCCACCCAGUCUGCCCUGUUCUUAACACAUGACCACUCCUGCCCCUGCCCUCGGCCUGGGCCCAGCUGAAUGGAUCACGGAAAUGAUCUCUCUAGAGACUGGAAGUGUUGGGGCGCAGCUGGUUCUCUCGGCAUGUGGCUGGCAGAGACACUAGGAGACUGUGGGAGAUGAGAUGAGGGAGAGGCAGGGGAAAUAGCCUUCAGGGGAGAGGACUUUGAGAAGAGGGACCAAGAAGCAGGUCCAGGAGGCCUGAUGGGCUCUGGGUGGCUUUUCCAGCCCUGGCUUUAGAUCUGCAGGAAGUCCAGCUGCCCUGGGUCUGUGGCAGACUCUGCAGUCUUCCAGGAAACUCCUUUUCUGUCUUGACCUGUGAAUGGAGACUGUGUUGGAGGCGUUGGCAGUGAGGUAAAGUCACUCCUGUCUCCCCCUAGUUUUGUACAUUGGUAAUAUUUGUUCUCCUGGAAAAAUAGAGACAGGAACCCCCGCCUUCUUUAUUUUUAUUUAUUUAUUUAUUUUGAGAUGGGGUCUCACUCUGUCACCCAGGCUGGAGUGCAGUGGCGCGAUCUCCACUCACUGCAACCUCUGCCUCCCGGGUUCAAGCAGUUCUCCUGCCUCAGCCUCCCGAGUAGCUGGGAUUACAGGCGCCUGCCAUCACGCCCAGCUAAUUUUUGUAUUUUUAGUAGAGACAGGGUUUCACCAUGUUAGCCAGGAUAGUCUCAAACUCCUGACCUCAAGUGAUCCACCCACCUUGGCCUUCCAAAGUGCUGGGAUUACAGGCGUGAGCCACUGUGCCCGGCUAACCCCUGCCUUCUUUAAUAGAAAAAUUCAGAUUUCUAAUUGACUGGCCUUCUUUAUUUUCUUUCGCCUUCAGAAAAACUGGGAACAAUAUGGAAGAUAUUUAUGCUCAUGCUCCCAGUGGAGGAAAUUUUUAAUGCCUCGAACUUCCUAGAAGAAGAGCUCUCUGUUGUGCCUUGAUGGCCGCAUGGCCGUUGCUUGCUAAGACCCAGCAUAUGCAGUAGCCUCAGACAGAAAUCCAGUCGCUCUGGUGAGUAGCCACCCAUCGCUCGUCACACUCUCCCGAGACUCUGGCGAGUAGUCACAUAUCGUGCAUCACACUGGUUUUGAAAAAGGACCCGAGCGUCUCUCCUGAGAUCCCUGCACUCUUCCCUGGCGGCCGUCACUUCACCAACAGUGAGCUAAGUUCGUGACGCUUGUUUCUCUCAGGACAAAGCAGAGAUUUAGGUGUCGGAAAAGCACUGCAGGCACCUUAUCCCUGGACCAGAGACUCCCUUGGUCUGCUUUGUUUUUAAAGUAGAAACGGUCAUUGUCAAAAUGGCCCUCAGGCACAAUAUUUACACAGCAGAGACCCAGUCGCAGCCGCCUCACACCGAGGUCAAGGGGCAGAGACAGCAGGAACCGUGAGCUCUGGUUCCUGAGCCAGUGUCUCCUCCCUCUACCGAAGCCCUCGUGUUUGCACUCUCUUGACGAAACACCGAGCUAUUUAAGUGGGAAUAAUAUAGUUCCUUCUGUAGACAGCACAGCUGAUGCCGUGGUCAAGGACAAAAAUGUUAAAAGGUUUGGCCUUUAGUCGAGGACGGGCAGUUGUUGCUUUCCUGGAGGUAGCUGGACGCAGGCGGGUUUUCCUCCCGUGAGGAGCACAGCAGCCUGGGCGGGUGAGGAGGAGCCAGGCUGGGCAGGGCGGCUGUGGGUUCUCGACUUCCUCCUCCUAUUCCGGGUGCCAGGAGCUGUUUACUGCCCUGUGAGAGCUUCCUGACAGCAGCUUCACUGGCCCCCUUCCAAUCGAGUUCCUGCCCUCUCAUCUUUGUGGAGACCACGCUGACUAUGAUUUCCGAAAAUUUACUUGUUCUCUGCCAAAUCCAAGGAUUCCCACUCCCUCCCACCCAUACCCUCGCUUUGCUUCUUCCCGGCUCUGCACACUCCCCAACUUGCUUCUGCACCAGGGGCCCCUCUGGGGAAAAGCAGAUGUCCCUUGAGCUAAAGAAGUUGCAGUUCACCCAGGCUGGGCUGUCCUGGAGGUUGUGGGCACGUGAGCGUGGGAGGGGUCGUGUGUUCCUCCACGCUCACCCAGAGCAGCCCCCUCUCGGCUUCGUGUAAUAUGCUGGUGUCAUACAUACUUAGGUCUGUUGGAAGAAAAUGUCCCAGGACUCACAUAAAUGAUAAAAACCGUCGUUCCAGGCAGCCCAUGGCUGGCAUCUUGAGUGCCAAUAACGUGCUCCCUGAAGCUUUCCCUGGUGGACACGAAGCAGCACUUCGCUCGUGAUGGCUGAUUGAAAACAUGCCGGUGAACUGGACGACGGUGAGCACGACCCCC
rnacentral:lncRNA from 10 species